rnacentral:rRNA from 1 species
AGCAGCCGCGGUAAUUCCAGCUCCAAUAGCGUAUAUUAAAGUUGUUGCAGUUAAAAAGCUCGUAGUUGAAUUUCGGGGCCAGUAGGUUGGUCGUGCCACUGGUAUGUACUGGCCUUACUGGUCCCUCCUUCUUGUAGAACCGUGAUGCCAUUAAUUUGGUGUUGCGGGGAAACAGGACUGUUACUUUGAAAAAAUUAGAGUGCUUAAAGCAGGCUCGCGCUUGAAUACAUUAGCAUGGAAUAACGGAAUAGGACGAUCGAACCUAUUUUGUUGGUUUCUAGGAUCGACGUAAUGAUUAAUAGGGAUAGUUGGGGGCAUUAGUAUUCAAUUGUCAGAGGUGAAAUUCUUGGAUUUAUUGAAGACUAACUACUGCGAAAGCAUUUGCCAAGGAUGUUUUCAUUAAUCAAGAACGAAAGUUAGGGGAUCGAAGACGAUCAGAUACCGUCGUAGUCUUAACCAUAAACUAUGCCGACUAGGGAUCGGAUGAUGUUAAUUUUUAAUGUACUCAUUCGGCGCCUUA